rnacentral:rRNA from 1 species
AACGAACGCUGGCGGCAGGCCUAAUACAUGCAAGUCGAACGCUCGUAGCAAUACGAGAGUGGCAGACGGGUGAGUAACACGUGGGAACCUUCCCUAUGGUUCGGAAUAGCUCAGGGAAACUUGAGGUAAUACCGGAUAAGCCCUUACGGGGAAAGAUUUAUCGCCAUUGGAUGGGCCCGCGUCGGAUUAGCUAGUUGGUGGGGUAACGGCCUACCAAGGCGACGAUCCGUAGCUGGUCUGAGAGGAUGAUCAGCCACACUGGGACUGAGACACGGCCCAGACUCCUACGGGAGGCAGCAGUAGGGAAUAUUGGACAAUGGGCGCAAGCCUGAUCCAGCCAUGCCGCGUGAGUGACGAAGGCCUUGGUUGUAAG